AUUGAACGCUGGCGGAAUGCUUUACACAUGCAAGUCGAACGGCAGCACGGACUUCGGUCUGGUGGCGAGUGGCGAAUGGGUGAGUAAUGUAUCGGAACGUGCCCAGUCGUGGGGGAUAACGUAGUGAAAAUUACGCUAAUACCGCAUCCGAUCUAUGGAUGAAAGCGGGAGAUCGCAAGACCUCGCGCGAUUGUAGCGGCCGAUAUCAGAUUAGGUAGUUGGCGGGGUAAAGGCCCACCAAGGCUUCGAUCAGUAGCUGGUCUGAGAGGAUGAUCGGCCACACUGGAAAUGAGACACGGCCCAGACUCCUACGGGAGGCAGCAGUGGGGAAUUUUGGACAAUGGGGGCAACCCUGAUCCAGCCAUUCCGCGUGAGUGAAGAAGGCCUUCGGGUUGUAAAGCUCUUUUGUCCGGGAAGAAACGGUUUUGGCUAAUAACCAAGACUACUGACGGUACCGGAAGAAUAAGGACCGGCUAACUACGUGCCAGCAGCCGCCAUAA
rnacentral:rRNA from 1 species